GCCGUGAUAGCUCAGUUGGGAGAGCAGCAGACUGAAGUUCUGAAGGUCGCCUGUUCGAACCAGGCUCAUGGCA